UGGGGAAUAUUGGACAAUGGGCGAAAGCCUGAUCCAGCCAUGCCGCGUGUGUGAAGAAGGUCUUCGGAUUGUAAAGCACUUUAAGUUGGGAGGAAGGGCAUUAACCUAAUACGUUAGUGUUUUGACGUUACCGACAGAAUAAGCACCGGCUAACUCUGUGCCAGCAGCCGCCGUAAUACAGAGGGUGCAAGCGUUAAUCGGAAUUACUGGGCGUAAAGCGCGCGUAGGUGGUUUGUUAAGUUGGAUGUGAAAGCCCCGGGCUCAACCUGGGAACUGCAUCCAAAACUGGCAAGCUAGAGUACGGUAGAGGGUGGUGGAAUUUCCUGUGUAGCGGUGAAAUGCGUAGAUAUAGGAAGGAACACCAGUGGCGAAGGCGACCACCUGGACUGAUACUGACACUGAGGUGCGAAAGCGUGGGGAGCAAACA
rnacentral:rRNA from 1 species